rnacentral:rRNA from 1 species
UAGGAUUAGAUACCCUAUUAUUAAAAUUUAAAUUGAAAAUACUAAAAUAGUAGAUAAUUAUUUAUUGAAACUUAAAUAAUUUGGCGGUAUUUUAGUUCAUUUAGAGGAAUCUGUUUAAUAAUUGAUAAUCCCCGAAUAAAUUUACUUAAUUUUUUAUUUUGUAUAUCGUUGUUAAAAAAAUAUUUUUUAAUAAUAAUAAUAUUUAAAAAUUUUGAUUAAAAAUUAAAUCAGAUCAAGAUGCAGAUUAUAAUUAAGAAUAUAAUGGAUUACAAUAAAUUUAUUUAGAUGAAUAUUAAUUUUAAAAGUUAAUUGAAG